rnacentral:rRNA from 1 species
AGUGAACGCUGGCGGUAGGCCUAACACAUGCAAGUCGAACGGCAGCACAGGAGAGCUUGCUCUCUGGGUGGCGAGUGGCGGACGGGUGAGGAAUACAUCGGAAUCUACUCUGUCGUGGGGGAUAACGUAGGGAAACUUACGCUAAUACCGCAUACGACCUACGGGUGAAAGCAGGGGAUCUUCGGACCUUGCGCGAUUGAAUGAGCCGAUGUCGGAUUAGCUAGUUGGCGGGGUAAAGGCCCACCAAGGCGACGAUCCGUAGCUGGUCUGAGAGCAUGAUCAGCCGCCCUGGAACUAAGACACGGUCCAGACUCCGACGGGAGGCAGCAGUGGGGAAUAUUGGACAAUGGGCGCGAGCCUGAUCCAGCCAUACCGCGUGGGUGAAGAAGGCCUUCGGGUUGUAAAGCCCUUUUGUUGGGAAAGAAAUCCAGCUGGCUAAUACCCGGUUGGGAUGACGGUACCCAAAGAAUAAGCACCGGCCAACUUCGUGCCAGCCGCCGCGGUAA